rnacentral:rRNA from 1 species
AUUGAACGCUGGCGGCAGGCUUAACACAUGCAAGUCGAACGAUGAAACUCUAGCUUGCUAGAGAAGAUUAGUGGCGGACGGGUGAGUAACAUUUAGGAAUCUGCCUAGUAGUGGGGGAUAGCUCGGGGAAACUCGAAUUAAUACCGCAUACGACCUACGGGUGAAAGGGGGCGCAAGCUCUUGCUAUUAGAUGAGCCUAAAUCAGAUUAGCUAGUUGGUGGGGUAAAGGCCUACCAAGGCGACGAUCUGUAGCUGGUCUGAGAGGAUGAUCAGUCACACCGGAACUGAGACACGGUCCGGACUCCUACGGGAGGCAGCAGUGGGGAAUAUUGGACAAUGGGGGCAACCCUGAUCCAGCCAUGCCGCGUGUGUGAAGAAGGCCUUUUGGUUGUAAAGCACUUUAAGCAGGGAGGAGAGGCUAAUGGUUAAUACCCAUUAGAUUAGACGUUACCUGCAGAAUAAGCACCGGCUAACUCUGUGCCAGCAGCCGCGGUAAUACAGAGGGUGCGAGCGUUAAUCGGAAUUACUGGGCGUAAAGCGAGUGUAGGUGGCUCAUUAAGUCACAUGUGAAAUCCCCGGGCUUAACCUGGGAACUGCAUGUGAUACUGGUGGUGCUAGAAUAUGUGAGAGGGAAGUAGAAUUCCAGGUGUAGCGGUGAAAUGCGUAGAGAUCUGGAGGAAUACCGAUGGCGAAGGCAGCUUCCUGGCAUAAUAUUGACACUGAGAUUCGAAAGCGUGGGUAGCAAACAGGAUUAGAUACCCUGGUAGUCCACGCCGUAAACGAUGUCUACUAGCCGUUGGGGUCCUUGAGACUUUAGUGGCGCAGUUAACGCGAUAAGUAGACCGCCUGGGGAGUACGGCCGCAAGGUUAAAACUCAAAUGAAUUGACGGGGGCCCGCACAAGCGGUGGAGCAUGUGGUUUAAUUCGAUGCAACGCGAAGAACCUUACCUGGUCUUGACAUAGUGAGAAUCCUGCAGAGAUGCGGGAGUGCCUUCGGGAACUCACAUACAGGUGCUGCAUGGCUGUCGUCAGCUCGUGUCGUGAGAUGUUGGGUUAAGUCCCGCAACGAGCGCAACCCUUUUCCUUAUUUGCCAGCGGGUUAAGCCGGGAACUUUAAGGAUACUGCCAGUGACAAACUGGAGGAAGGCGGGGACGACGUCAAGUCAUCAUGGCCCUUACGACCAGGGCUACACACGUGCUACAAUGGUAGGUACAGAGGGUUGCUACACAGCGAUGUGAUGCUAAUCUCAAAAAGCCUAUCGUAGUCCGGAUUGGAGUCUGCAACUCGACUCCAUGAAGUCGGAAUCGCUAGUAAUCGCAGAUCGGAAUGCUGCGGUGAAUACGUUCCCGGGCCU